UGAUGACUCUGGAUAACUUCACUGAUCGCAGUCGGCCUUGUGUCGGCGACGGAUCUUUCAAAUGUCUGCCCUAUCAAUUUUCGAUGGUAGGUGACCUGCCUACCAUGGUGAUAACGGGUAACGGGGAAUCAGGGUUCGAUUCCGGAGAGGGAGCCUGAGAAACGGCUACCACUUCCAAGGAAGGCAGCAGGCGCGCAAAUUACCCAAUCCCGGCACGGGGAGGUAGUGACGAAAAAUACGGAUACGGGACUCAUCAGAGGCUCCGUAAUUCGAAUGAGUACACUUUAAAUCCUUGCACGAGGAUCAACUGGAGGGCAAGUCUGGUGCCAGCAGCCGCGGUAACUCCAGCUCCAGAAGCGUAUAUUAAAGUUGUUGCAGUUAAAAAGCUCGUAGUUGGAUCUGGGUCGCAUGGCUACAUGCUGCGCUCGUAUUUCCAAUCUGGUUACGACUGGAGCGGAUUUGUGAGUCAG
rnacentral:rRNA from 2 species